UGGGACUCCCCUGGAGGGAGCCUCUAGAAAUCAGAGUAUUUGGCAUGGAGUCCUGGGGUAGCCCUUACGGGCCUCUGACAUCUUUUGUCCAGUACCCCCGAAUUGGACAGCAGCCAGAAGGCAGAACUUAGCUCUAAGCAGGGCUGGAAAAGGAAGACAGGAGUUAGGAAUGCUACCGGGGUCCCACGGCGAAAUUCGACUCUCCACCUGGUGAAUCACUCACCCUGCGCUUGAACCAGGAGCCAGACUGGGGAAAGGGAAGAAAAGUGGAACUCCUGGAGUUUCAGGCUGGAAGGUUCCUUGUCUGAUGGCAGCUACGUGGAGUUUUCUGUGAAGAUUCAUUUGUCAAGGAUGGGAUUCAAGAGCAUCUCCCAACACUGAGAGGACAGGAGGAGGUUCCAGGAAGGUGCCAGCUUCCUCUGCAGCAGGAGUCAGAUGGAUUUGGGGAAGGGCUUCCAACACAACAGAUGCUCCACAUGCAAGAGAGCCCUUUCCCAGCCCAUCAUUCAGGAGGCAAAGGAUGAACAUGACCUCCUGCAGUGAUGCCAAUGUUGGAUGGGUACCCCCCAAAGAAAUGGGUUGGUUCUGGCUGUAACAGUUUCUACAAAAACGCUACAGUGCAUGAAAAUGUCUUUCUGUUAAACAUUAAAGCCUAUACUAAGCCCCCUA